UCCUUUCUAGCCACAGUUUCUACUUUUCUCC
rnacentral:piRNA from 1 species